rnacentral:rRNA from 1 species
AUAUACGACCGUACCGCAAACCGACACUGGUGCGCGAGAUGAGUAUUCUAAGGCGCUUGAGAGAACUCAGGAGAAGGAACUCGGCAAAUUGACACCGUAACUUCGGAAGAAGGUGUGCCCUAUUAGUGUGUAGUGAACAACGAAGCAUGAAUGGGUUGCAAAAAAUCGGUGGCUGCGACUGUUUAUUAAAAACACAGCACUCUGCAAACACGAAAGUGGACGUAUAGGGUGUGACGCCUGCCCGGUGCUGGAAGAUUAAAUGAUGGGGUGCAAGCUCUUGAUUGAAGUCCCAGUAAACGGCGGCCGUAACAAUAACGGUCCUAAGGUAGCGAAAUUCCUUGUCGGGUAAGUUCCGACCUGCACGAAUGGCGUAACGAUGGCCACACUGUCUCCUCCUGAGACUCAGCGAAGUUGAAAUGUUUGUGAUGAUGCAAUCUCCCCGCGGAAAGACGGAAAGACCCCAUGAACCUUUACUGUAGCUUUGUAUUGGACUUUGAACAGAUCUGUGUAGGAUAGGUGGGAGGCUUUGAAGCAGGGUCGCUAGAUCUUGUGGAGCCAACGUUGAAAUACCACCCUGGUGUGUUUGAGGUUCUAACCUAGGUCCAUUAUCUGGAUCGGGGACAGUGCAUGGUAGGCAGUUUGACUGGGGCGGUCUCCUCCCAAAGCGUAACGGAGGAGUUCGAAGGUACGCUAGUUACGGUCGGACAUCGUGACGAUAGUGCAAUGGCAUAAGCGUGCUUAACUGCGAGACUGACAAGUCGAGCAGAUGCGAAAGCAGGACAUAGUGAUCCGGUGGUUCUGUAUGGAAGGGCCAUCGCUCAACGGAUAAAAGGUACUCUGGGGAUAACAGGCUGAUACCGCCCAAGAGUUCAUAUCGACGGCGGUGUUUGGCACCUCGAUGUCGGCUCAUCUCAUCCUGGGGCUGUAGCCGGUCCCAAGGGUAUGGCUGUUCGCCAUUUAAAGAGGUACGUGAGCUGGGUUUAAAACGUCGUGAGACAGUUCGGUCCCUAUCUUCCGUGGGCGCUGCAGAUUUGAGGAAGCCUGCUCCUAGUACGAGAGGACCGGAGUGGACACACCUCUGGUGUAUCGGUUGUCACGCCAGUGGCAUUGCCGAGUAGCUAAGUGUGGAAGAGAUAACCGCUGAAAACAUCUAAGCGGGAAACUCGUUUCAAGAUGAGAUCUGCCGGGGCCUUGAGCCCCCUAAAGAGUCGUUCAAGACCAGGACGUUGAUAGGUCAGGUGUGGAAGCGCAGUAAUGUGUUAAGCUAACUGAUACUAAUUGCUCGUGCGGCUUGACC